rnacentral:rRNA from 1 species
UCAUUAUCAAAAGUCAAGUCGGGGGCUGUAAAGCUCUCGUCUACACCCAUGUCUUUUGCGUACUCUUGUUUCCUCGGUGGCGCAAGCUGCCGAUUGGACAAACCAAAACCUUUUUUGUAAUUGCAAUCAGCGUCUGAAAAUAAUCUAAUUAUUUACAACUUUCAACAACGGAUCUCUUGGUUCUGGCAUCGAUGAAGAACGCAGCGAAAUGCGAUAAGUAGUGUGAAUUGCAGAAUUCAGUGAAUCAUCGAAUCUUUGAACGCACAUUGCGCCCCUUGGUAUUCCAUGGGGCAUGCCUGUUCGAGCGUCAUUUGUACCCUCAAGCUUUGCUUGGUGUUGGGCGUCUUGUCGUAUUACGACUCGCCUUAAAUCUAUUGGCAGCCGGCACUUUGGCCUAGGAGCGCAGCACAUUUUGCGAUCGUAGCCCGUUGUACUGGCGUCCAUCAAGAACAUUUACCACGUUUGACCUCGGAUCAGGUAGG